AUCAUUUAUAAGGAUGAGACUGGAAAUAGGAGCAAGAAAUAGGGCAGGGACUUCCCAAGGACAGGGCAGUGAGAGCUGUUACCAUCUGUAGGGCACAGCAAGCCAGUAGAAGUUAUCUGAAUCUAAAGCGGGUGGUUGGACAAAGAAGGUGUUUGUGGGAGCUGUAGCCCUUGGUAAGGUGACGCAGACAAUCAUGGCAGUGACCUGGUCAGCUUCUCUGAUGAAGACACAAAAGCAGGGAAGAAAAAAAUGAACUGAGGAUUUAGAGAGAUAUCCAUCUCAUCCCCUCUUAACGCAUAUUUAUUGAAAAUCACUCUUCAUCUUGGAAACAACAGAGUGGGAGUUUUUCAUCAACAGAACUAAAAAGCAAUUCAUAUUUUGAACUAUAUGUGGAAAAGAGACACAAAGACUCAUACAUGUUAUAAGGCUACUACUGCUUCUUAAAGGUGUAAAUACAAAUGAAGAAAAAAAUGAGUUCCUGAGUUUUGUUUCCCAUGGCCAUGCCAAGAAUUCUGAUGGCAAACUCUUCUGCUGAUAAUAAUUUUCCUGACAGUUGUUCAGUGGACUCUGCCUGGUUUCUAAAAAUUAUGCACCAUAGUUGAAGUACACAAGAGAAAAGCUGUUGUUAAUUCACUGAAAAUAAUUAAAAAUUAAUCAUAACUGCAUACAAUGUGAUUUAAUUUCUUAUUCUUAUUACAUUAAAAACUUCUUGGAAGCAGGAAUGAUAUCUUAUGUAUCCAGCAUUCACAGCCACUAAACAUUUCUUACUUUGCAGCCAAGCAAUGUGUGAGGAAGAGCCCAGCAUGGCAUGUACAUUCUCCUUGGCUACAUCAUAGUAAUAUUUCCUUUAUUCUUAUUUUCCUUCUAUCCUGCUUUUCACAUUUAUUUCCUUUCUACCUGUCUUUGGUCAGAUUUUUGCAUGCUUCCAUUUCCAAAAGUGUAUAUGAUAAUAUAGGUUGCAUUCUAAAACAGCUUUUCACAGUUGAACGUCUCUACAAAAAAUGUUUUAGUGUCACAAAUUUUAUCUAAAAAUAGUCUAUCAUAAUU